rnacentral:rRNA from 1 species
GGGUUGUGAGGUUAAGCGACUAAGCGUACACGGUGGAUGCCCUGGCAGUCAGAGGCGAUGAAGGACGUGCUAAUCUGCGAUAAGCGUCGGUAAGGUGAUAUGAACCGUUAUAACCGGCGAUUUCCGAAUGGGGAAACCCAGUGUGAUUCGUCACACUAUCAUUAACUGAAUCCAUAGGUUAAUGAGGCGAACCGGGGGAACUGAAACAUCUAAGUACCCGAGGAAAAGAAAUCAACCGAGAUUCCCCCAGUAGCGGCGAGCGAACGGGGAGCAGCCCAGAGCCUGAAUCAGUGUGUGUGUUAGUGGAAGCGUCUGGAAAGGCGUGCGAUACAGGGUGACAGCCCCGUACACAAAAAUGCACAUAUUGUGAGCUCGAUGAGUAGGGCGGGACACGUGGUAUCCUGUCUGAAUAUGGGGGGACCAUCCUCCAAGGCUAAAUACUCCUGACUGACCGAUAGUGAACCAGUACCGUGAGGGAAAGGCGAAAAGAACCCCGGCGAGGGGAGUGAAAAAGAACCUGAAACCGUGUACGUACAAGCAGUGGGAGCACGCUUAGGCGUGUGACUGCGUACCUUUUGUAUAAUGGGUCAGCGACUUAUAUUCUGUAGCAAGGUUAACCGAAUAGGGGAGCCGAAGGGAAACCGAGUCUUAACUGGGCGUUAAGUUGCAGGGUAUAGACCCGAAACCCGGUGAUCUAGCCAUGGGCAGGUUGAAGGUUGGGUAACACUAACUGGAGGACCGAACCGACUAAUGUUGAAAAAUUAGCGGAUGACUUGUGGCUGGGGGUGAAAGGCCAAUCAAACCGGGAGAUAGCUGGUUCUCCCCGAAAGCUAUUUAGGUAGCGCCUCGUGAAUUCAUCUCCGGGGGUAGAGCACUGUUUCGGCAAGGGGGUCAUCCCGACUUACCAACCCGAUGCAAACUGCGAAUACCGGAGAAUGUUAUCACGGGAGACACACGGCGGGUGCUAACGUCCGUCGUGAAGAGGGAAACAACCCAGACCGCCAGCUAAGGUCCCAAAGUCAUGGUUAAGUGGGAAACGAUGUGGGAAGGCCCAGACAGCCAGGAUGUUGGCUUAGAAGCAGCCAUCAUUUAAAGAAAGCGUAAUAGCUCACUGGUCGAGUCGGCCUGCGCGGAAGAUGUAACGGGGCUAAACCAUGCACCGAAGCUGCGGCAGCGACGCUUAUGCGUUGUUGGGUAGGGGAGCGUUCUGUAAGCCUGCGAAGGUGUGCUGUGAGGCAUGCUGGAGGUAUCAGAAGUGCGAAUGCUGACAUAAGUAACGAUAAAGCGGGUGAAAAGCCCGCUCGCCGGAAGACCAAGGGUUCCUGUCCAACGUUAAUCGGGGCAGGGUGAGUCGACCCCUAAGGCGAGGCCGAAAGGCGUAGUCGAUGGGAAACAGGUUAAUAUUCCUGUACUUGGUGUUACUGCGAAGGGGGGACGGAGAAGGCUAUGUUGGCCGGGCGACGGUUGUCCCGGUUUAAGCGUGUAGGCUGGUUUUCCAGGCAAAUCCGGAAAACUAAGGCUGAGGCGUGAUGACGAGGCACUACGGUGCUGAAGCAACAAAUGCCCUGCUUCCAGGAAAAGCCUCUAAGCAUCAGGUAACAUCAAAUCGUACCCCAAACCGACACAGGUGGUCAGGUAGAGAAUACCAAGGCGCUUGAGAGAACUCGGGUGAAGGAACUAGGCAAAAUGGUGCCGUAACUUCGGGAGAAGGCACGCUGAUAUGUAGGUGAAGUCCCUCGCGGAUGGAGCUGAAAUCAGUCGAAGAUACCAGCUGGCUGCAACUGUUUAUUAAAAACACAGCACUGUGCAAACACGAAAGUGGACGUAUACGGUGUGACGCCUGCCCGGUGCCGGAAGGUUAAUUGAUGGGGUUAGCGCAAGCGAAGCUCUUGAUCGAAGCCCCGGUAAACGGCGGCCGUAACUAUAACGGUCCUAAGGUAGCGAAAUUCCUUGUCGGGUAAGUUCCGACCUGCACGAAUGGCGUAAUGAUGGCCAGGCUGUCUCCACCCGAGACUCAGUGAAAUUGAACUCGCUGUGAAGAUGCAGUGUACCCGCGGCAAGACGGAAAGACCCCGUGAACCUUUACUAUAGCUUGACACUGAACAUUGAGCCUUGAUGUGUAGGAUAGGUGGGAGGCUUGGAAGUGUGGACGCCAGUCUGCAUGGAGCCGACCUUGAAAUACCACCCUUUAAUGUUUGAUGUUCUAACGUUGACCCGUAAUCCGGGUUGCGGACAGUGUCUGGUGGGUAGUUUGACUGGGGCGGUCUCCUCCUAAAGAGUAACGGAGGAGCACGAAGGUUGGCUAAUCCUGGUCGGACAUCAGGAGGUUAGUGCAAUGGCAUAAGCCAGCUUGACUGCGAGCGUGACGGCGCGAGCAGGUGCGAAAGCAGGUCAUAGUGAUCCGGUGGUUCUGAAUGGAAGGGCCAUCGCUCAACGGAUAAAAGGUACUCCGGGGAUAACAGGCUGAUACCGCCCAAGAGUUCAUAUCGACGGCGGUGUUUGGCACCUCGAUGUCGGCUCAUCACAUCCUGGGGCUGAAGUAGGUCCCAAGGGUAUGGCUGUUCGCCAUUUAAAGUGGUACGCGAGCUGGGUUUAGAACGUCGUGAGACAGUUCGGUCCCUAUCUGCCGUGGGCGCUGGAGAACUGAGGGGGGCUGCUCCUAGUACGAGAGGACCGGAGUGGACGCAUCACUGGUGUUCGGGUUGUCAUGCCAAUGGCACUGCCCGGUAGCUAAAUGCGGAAGAGAUAAGUGCUGAAAGCAUCUAAGCACGAAACUUGCCCCGAGAUGAGUUCUCCCUGACUCCUUGAGAGUCCUGAAGGAACGUUGAAGACGACGACGUUGAUAGGCCGGGUGUGUAAGCGCAGCGAUGCGUUGAGCUAACCGGUACUAAUGAACCGUGAGGCUUAACCUUACAACGCCGAAGGUGUUU